CUUUCGUAGGAAACUGCCCUUCUAAUCUAGGGUCUAUUAUAUGGUGCAACUUUCUUUGAUCUCUCAAAAGAGGCCUUGCCCAUUCCACAAGGGUUCGUUCUCUAUUGGGUCGGCACUUAUCCACUACCCUUCUCCCUAUGUCAAGAAACUCGACUACCUAUAGACUUCAAUGUUACCCAACACUUCUCCAACCCCUUACAAACAUGUGCAAAACCAACAAUUCCAUAUUAUCGAAUCUUUGAGUGCACAUUGGACGGUUUUCUUUCUUUAUUCAAUUGAUACAUUUCCCAGUUUCUGGUAGGUCACACUUUUCUGUAUUGUUGUUGUUAAGAUGUCAACUUCAAACAUGGCAGCCCGACAAUCAGACUCUCCUUUGCAAUUUUUAAUGUGGUAAUCAAGGA